CAUCAGUGCAGCCUUCAGCCCAGUCUCCUGUCUCUCCUCUGGGCUCCUCGUCUCUGGUGCUGGGUUUGAUCACCGGCUCAGUCCUGAUCCUCCUGGUUCUGCUGGUCCUGGUGGUGAGACGGUGCCAGAGACACACAGAGGAGAAUGGAUUAAACAGCCACAUAUUACCCCAGCAGCAGAGGAGGACGAUCAGACACACAGAUUUUGAUGAGAGCUCUUUGUAUACCACUGUCUGCUACUCCACCAUCACCAUCAGCCAGACCAAAGAUCCAGCUGCCAGAGCUGAGGAGAGGAUGCAGAGACACAGCGAUGCAAGAACCGGCACAGAGAUCAG